rnacentral:rRNA from 1 species
CCUACGGGAGGCAGCAGUGGGGAAUAUUGGGCAAUGGGCGCAAGCCUGACCCAGCAACGCCGCGUGAAGGAAGAAGGCUUUCGGUUUGUAAAUUUUUUUUGUCAGGGACGAAGAAAGUGACGGUACCUGCAGAAUAAGCUCCGGCUAACUACGUGCCAGCAGCCGCGGUAAUAAGUAGGGAGGGAGCGUUUUCCGGAUUUAUUGGGUGUAAAGGGCGGGUAGGCGGGAAUCCAAGUCAGAUGUGAAAUAUCCGGGCUCAACCCGGAAACUGCAUUUGAAACUGUAUUUCUUGAGGGAUGGAGGGGCAAGGGGAAUUCCUAGUGUAGCGGUGAAAAGCGUAGAUAUUAGGAGGAACACCAGCGGCGAAGGCGGCUUCUUGGACAUUAAUUAACGAUGAGGCGGGAAAGCGUGGGGGGCAAACAGGAUUAGAUACCCCCGUAGUCCACCCCGUAAACGAUGAAUACUAGGUGUGGGGGGACUGACCCCCUCCGUGCCGCAGUUAACACAAUAAGUAUCC